GCGAAGCGCCUACGCAGGGAAAUCAGUCCACUGGACUGAUUUCUGAUCCUGCUUCGAU
rnacentral:misc_RNA from 1 species